AGAACCUUUGUUCCUCCUCUUAGGAUAUUAAACAGUCUGAGAAAUCUAAAGGCUGCUGAAGUAAAAACAGUGCUAAAGGGAAUAUUCUGAUCUUCAGGCAGGUGGGCUUCAUCCCAGGAAAACGAGCCUGUCUCAGCAGAGAUUUUAAGACUGUAACUUUAAUGAGUGCUGACACCAGAAGUGUGCACAGACCUCUCCAGCACAAAAUAGGUGAGUACUUGAUGAAGGAGGUAACAAGCAGUUACUUUAAGCAUCACACAUCUAAAUUUGAAGAAAACCAAAUACCCUGCAUUCGAAAGUAAUGAAUACUGUUUGCCCUUUUUGAAGUUAGCGGUGAUUUUUCACAGAGGACUGGCGAUGGUGAUCAGUGACAGUCUCGUGCUUCUGUGGAAGAUUUUGUUUCUUAGCAAUGUAGUGUGACAAAAUAUUCAGUGGGAAAAUGUUUCUGGAGAGCCAAGUGUCAGCUACAACAGCGAUCCGUUUUCAUCCAUUGUGAGGAUCUGCAACUCUCAGCUCUUGCAGCCAAAUCGUAGACUGCCCUAAUUGCUAACAUGCUUCAGUAGCUGUGCACAUUGUGCCAAGAGCGAAACCCUACCUGUGAUCUGAGAGAGAUAAAGUGCAAGGGAGCAAAUGCAUGAAGUAAAACUUCAGGAAUUCUAGUAAAACCAGGUGAAAAUGAAGAAAAGGUGAUGGAAGAAGUGACGUGAAACUAAACCUCAACCAGAACCUGCAAAAUGUAUUUGUUCUCUCUCAAAAACAGAGGUAUGUGGAAGAACCCUGUUUGGCUCCUCUCUUAGUAGCUCUGCUCUUUUCUAAUCAAAACUACAAGUAACUGGCAGUCUUCCUGACUCAGCCUCGGAGUGGGAGG